rnacentral:rRNA from 1 species
CUACGGGGGGCUGCAGUGAGGAAUAUUGCACAAUGGGGGGAACCCUGAUGCAGCAACGCCGCGUGGAGGAUGACGCAUUUCGGUGUGUAAACUCCCUCUAUAUGUCAAGAAAAUGACGGUAGCAUAUGAAUAAGCACCGGCUAACUCCGUGCCAGAGCCGCGGUAAUACGGAGGGUGCAAGCGUUACUCGGAAUCACUGGGCGUAAAGGACGCGUAGGCGGGUUGGAAAGUCAGGUGUGAAAUCCUACAGCUUAACUGUAGAACUGCACUUGAAACUUCUAAUCUAGAGUAUGGGAGGGGGAGAUGGAAUUAGUGGUGUAGGGGUAAAAUCCGUAGAUAUCACUAGGAAUACCUAAAGCGAAGGCGAUCUCCUGGAACAUUACUGACGCUAAGGCGUGAAAGCGUGGGGAGCAAACAGGAUUAGAUACCCGUGUAGUC